rnacentral:rRNA from 1 species
GCGCGAAGACUUUACAAUGCUGGCAACAGCGAUAAGGGAACCUCGAGUGCCAGGUUACAAAUCUGGCUGUCGAGAUGCCUAAAAAGCAUUUCAUAGCAAGGGCCGGGCAAGACCGGUGCCAGCCGCCGCGGUAACACCGGCGGCUCGAGUGGUAACCGUUAUUAUUGGGUCUAAAGGGUCUGUAGCCGGCCGGAUAAGUCUCUUGAGAAAUCUGGCAGCUUAACUGUCAGGCUUUCAGGAGAUACUGUCUGGCUCGAGGCCGGGAGAGGUGAGAGGUACUUCAGGGGUAGGGAUGAAAUCUUGUAAUCCUUGAAGGACCACCAGUGGCGAAGGCGUCUCACCAGAACGGACCUGACGGCAAGGGACGAAAGCUAGGGGCACGAACC